UCGCGCUCCGAGCAAUAACACAGUAUCACGUGUGGGCCGUGAAACCUGGGAGGAAAACAAAGCCGCAGGCGGCGGCCGCGCGGGCAGGGCGGGAGGCGUGGGCCGGAGGAGGAGGAGGAGGAAGAGGAGGAGGAGGAGGAAGCCGAGCCGGGCGCGGCGGGGCUGGCGGCCGGGGUCGCCCUCGCCGCCGGCGGACCGGGUCAAAUGACGCCAACCUCACCCGAACCCCACACAAGAAGCGCAGACUCUACCAGGAGGGCAGAAUGCUCCAUCUUAGGUGUGAACUCUGAAGGUUGCUCACAUAAGUCGCCUGACAAAGGAGAAAUCUGACAGUUAAGGGCUUCCAGAGUUGGGCAUCCGCUUACCAUGGCUGAAAGUCCACAGCAGCUUCCCAGCCUGCCCCCUGGGGCCUGGUGGCCAACAUGAAGAUGAACAGCAGCAAGAGGAAGGAAGUCUUGCAGCUGUGGGCCGAGGGAGGUGAUUCAGGCUUAUUCACAUCCGUGAAUAAGCCUGAACCUCCUCAGUCAUGUUCAGGGCUCAUGUCUGAGCGCUGUUAUCACUGUGAUCAAUCAGCAGACAACUAUUUAGCCAAAGCAAGAGCGGAAGGUAAAGCUGAAGGAAAUUUCUGGAACACAGUGCUACUACAAAAACAAAAAUCAUUUGUCAGGCAGUGGAUGCAGCUCAGCGGAGAAUACUUAUGAGCGUGCUCGAGGCCCUGGGUUCAAUCCCCAGCUCCGCAAAGAAAAAAAAAAAAAUGUAACCGUGAAGGCCGUCAUCCGCCAGUGCGCUUCUCAGAUAGGAUGAAGAGCACCAGAGCAAAAAGGAGGGAGUGUGAGUCUGUUCCCUCGUAUUCUGAAUCAAUACAACGACACACUUUGCUCUCAGAGUUGUGUCUUGAGGGCUGAGAAUGCAGGAGCCCUGGGCAUGAGAAUGGGGGGCUGGGUACCAAACAGGCUUCCGCUGUCUCUACUCUUUCUCCUGCUGUCCAGCAGAUUAAGGAAAAUGGUUUUAAACAGCCUAUUUGAUAAAACUGUUUGUUUACUUGAGGUUUUAUUUUGUUUUGUUGCUGAGUUCCGUGAGAGCUAAGAGAUCCUUGGUAGUGCAGGGCAUCCUGGGAGUCUUAUGCCAGGCUCCAUGAACAGUGGGAAAGGCCUGGCAGGCUGGGACCCAGAGGCGACCUGCUGGCUGGGUUGGUUAGUGCUGCUCAUAAACAGCUGGACCACAGAUACUACCCUUCAGGAGUAUUUUCCCAGCCUGUCCACAGGACCUGUCCCCCAGCUCAAAGACCUGUUUUCCAUAGGCAUGGCAUGAGAUACACCAGGCGGAGCUGAUGCCACAAUCAACUACCAUGUAUGUCCCGUGUUAUUCAAAGCUAUUUGUAUGUUUUUACUGUAAUUUAUGUUUCUUAGGAUCAAAGCGUGGAAAACAUAUUCUCUAAACAUAGUUGAAGAAUUUUCAGAAGCCAAAAUAAGAUUUCAAAAAGAAGCACAUUUGCUUUAAAUGAGUGAAACUCCAUGUGCUUGGGGCUUGAACUGAACUUCAUAAUUCAUCCUUAACACGUCUUUGAUCUGCCCAAAGCAUAACGAUCAAUGCACAGACAUGUGAGUGACCACUUGAAAGAACCGUUGAUGUGGAAGACACCAUCCUAGAUUCAUUACCUCAUUUCCUACUAGAACUCUGCGGGAAAAACAUUCUUUCUGCUUUACUGCCCAGAGAUCCCUUCAUCAAUUUAUGUUGGUAUUAGCAAUUGAGUGAAUUAAAAUGCAGGGCAGAACAUGAUUGAAACAUCAAACUAAAGAGCUGAGAACAUACAGUCUUGCUAAAACCUCAAUAAUCAAUACCCUAGCAUGGUAUGUCAAAACUGGCCUUCCUAGGAACUAUCUAGAAAACUCCGUCUUCAUAGAAUCUCUGCAGUACCCCUCAACUUGUUUUGUACAGAAUAAACGGAACUUAAACAUCAA